AAAUCAGUGAAAUUCAUCAGGAAACUAAAAAAAAUCCAAAUUCGAGUUCCAGUGAGCUGCUAAGGGCAGAAAUGGACUGGAAAAGUAAAAAUUUUGGUGACCCACUCAACCAGUUCCAGUUAAUUUCAGUACUUUGACAUUUUAUCGCUGGAACAUUAACCAGAUGCAAGCUCUGCCUCCCCUUUUCGAUUCUCACCUCUAUCUCUCCCUCGAUUUCAUGUUCUCUACUCUCAAUUCAUAUGUGUGUGUGCCAAUGGAUAUGUGUUAGUGUGUGUUAGUGUGUGCUAAUGAUGAAAAGAGGGUGUGUGCGUAGAUUGUCAUUCUAUGUGGGGAACUGAGUGUAUUCUGUUGUAGUGUGUUGGUGAACCAAGAAGAAGAAAAAGGAAAGGUGUAUGCGUAUCCUCCUUUUUUUGUGUUCUGUGUAUA
rnacentral:lncRNA from 1 species